rnacentral:rRNA from 1 species
UACAGACGGUCCAAACGUUAUUCGGAAUCACUGGGCUUAAAGAGUUCGUAGGCGGUCAGGAAAGUGGGGUGUGAAAGCCCUCGGCUUAACCGAGGAAUCGCGCUCCAAACUCCCUGACUUGAGGAGGCUAGAGGUAAGCGGAACUGAUGGUGGAGCGGUGAAAUGCGUUGAUAUCAUCAGGAACACCGGAGGCGAAGGCGGCUUACUGGGGCCUUUCUGACGCUGAGGAACGAAAGCUAGGGGAGCGAACGGG